CUGAACUCUAGUAACUAACUCUAACUAUUAGCUCUCCGAACACAGUGUGCGCAGGGUUAAAGGGACACUAGAGGCACCCUGACCACUUCAUUUCAUUGGGAUUAUACUUGUCUGAAAGACCAUAUUUACGAAAAAUAAGGGCUUUUUGUAAGUUUGGUCUUUCAGCACUGAAGUACUAAAGGGACACUAUUGUCACUACAGCUUAAUGUAGUGGUUCUGGUGCCUAUAGACUGUUCCUGCAGCCUUUUUAAUGUGAACCCUGCCUUUUUUCAGAAAUAAGUCAGUGUUUACAUUACUGCAUAGGAACACCUCUAGUGGCAAUCACUCAGACAGCCACUAAGGGUGCUUCUUGUGUCAGUGCUGCAUAGUGUGUAGCACUGGUGUUCAGUGUCUCCACACUCUAUAUGGAGGCACUGAACGUAUUCAAUGCAUCUGUAUGAGGACAUGCUUAUUGGCUCAGCGUGGAGUUUUGCAUGCAUGUUCAAUAGCCUUCCAAUUCUUUCCUAUGGGAAAGCAUUGGAUUGGUUGAGAUUGUCAAAGUUAAGGGAUCUCAGUCAUGGAGGCGGGGUCAGCCAUGGCGAGACUGGUGCAUCGUGGGAGAAAAGGGGAGUGAAAUCACCUUUGAUCUCUGGAGAGAGAAGAGCCAUGGACCUAAUGCUGCAUUCCAUGUUUGUAUUCCUGACACUAUAGUGUUCCCUUUGUCUUCCAGGCCCCCUCCUAACCAUGCCACUGACAUAUCUAUAUGACCUUAUGCAGGAUAAAAAUUAGUUUUUUUGACAUAAAAUGUCAUUCCUCCAAACUCUAUCUUCCAAAGCAAGACAUUUCUACCUAAUAAUACAUGUGCUUCAAUAAACUUUUUUAAUAAAAACAUCUGCAAACAUUUUGUAUGUUAAAAAGUUUCUCAGGGGUGAAACUGUUUGUAUGUAGAACCGAAUUUAGUUGUUGACGUUUUUUUAACAUAUACAUUCUUCUAAGACAAGAAUAGUAAAUAGAAAAAAAAAAAAAUGAGCUGUCAUUCAUGUCAGGUCUAAAAUAUCACUAGAAGCUUUUGCUCAUAAUGUGGUUUCUGCCUCGCCCACGCACUGCCAACCCGGUGUUCUAUUUUUGUUGCUUGUUUCUCUGGCUACACUGAAGUUGGCUGAUGCGAUGUAUGCUUGAUGUCUUGCAGUUUCAGUUUUUAACCGUGGCUGAGAAUAGACUACUGCUGGUGUUUCUGCUGUUUUUACUAUGCAAUUAUUAUUGCAUUGAAAAUUAUAUGCUAUAAUUGUGGAUGAGGUCAUGGAAAUUAAUUAGAAAUGUCUGCUUUGGCGGAACAAUACAGAAUGGAGGACCACAUUCGGGGUCUAAAUUAUGGUUUUUAGGAGUACUUUUUUAUGGUUCAGUGAGCAUCAUUUUAAUGUCAUUCGGGCUAUUACUCAUUUACUUAUGCACAUCUCACGACUACUUUUAAUUAAGUUACAAAAUAUUAAAUGUCGUACCAUAAUGAGAAAGAAUAAAAG